GGUCGCAUCGAUAGUCUCGUUUCCAAAGCUGCCUCAAAUCCAUCAGUGGACACUCUGGUGGAGAUCUCCGACAAGGCUCUCGAUAAACUCUUGGGAAGUUAAUAUCAAGGCCACUGUGCAAGCCAUUCAGGCCGCGGUACCUCCCGGGAUUUGUGCCUGCCCACGCACUUCGCGAGCUACCUCACAGAGAACGGAGCUAUCAGAUCAAACAUUGAGUCCCAGACGCUACUGAAAAGACUCGGAACAGUGGACGACAUGGAAUCCCUCCAGCUACGACAAUCGUCUCGCCAGUGAUGUCACUCGAGACUAGAAACGCUACCGCCGCCCGCAGUAGACUAUGAGACUAUGAGAGAGAUUGGCAAAAGCAGGACACUUAGAAGUGGUCUCACAAGUAUUUA